ensembl:lncRNA
AUGUUUAACCACAAAUCUCAAUUAAAAGGGGAGAAUAUAUUUUGUAUGAACUUUAUUUCAGAUAGCCAAAUAACUCUAAUUGCUGAGGGGAAGUUUUUCCUAAUAAAUCUAGAAGGAAUUAUAGAAAAUCAUCAUCCUGUACCACUUAAUGAAAUAAUAGAUUCAGGCAGUGAUCAUUAAAGGAUCAAAUGAUCAAUCUUAUAAACAUCUUAAAAACAAGACAAGCAAACAUUUAUACCUCCCAUGUGAGGCAAUUGGAAGCACACCAGUACUAUCUAUGAAGGAUUCCUGCCAAAAAGUGAAACCUGAAUGAAAUCCAGUCUACAGGGCUAAUGUGCAUAAACAGAAAUACAAGGGAAGAAGGUGCAACUUAAAUGACUCCAAAGGCAAGCUUAACAGACAGAUGUAGGAGGGUCUAUAUAGGAAAAAAGACCCCAUUUUAAAAACAAAUUAAUAAAAAAGAAAGAAAACUGGGACUGCUGUGGAUUUUAUGUGGAUUUCUUUUCAAAUCUCCUCACUGUAAAAUGACAUUUUAAAGACAAUUGGAGAAAUUUGAUUAUGGACUGAAUGUUAGAUGGUACCUAGAUGUGACAAUGGCAUCAUGGCUUUAUGGAAGGGACCCCUUUUUAGGAGAUACAUGUUGAAAUAUUUAAAGUUGAAAUGACAUGUUUAGGAUUUGCUUUUAAAUACUUUAGCAAAGAGAAAAAUAAAAAAUAGAGGAGGCAAAUGUAGCAGAAUAUGGAAAAUUGGUGAAUCAAGAGAUGAGCACAUGGAGGGUUUAUUGUAUUAUUCAUCUUUCUUUGGAGUAUGUUUAAAUGUUGGUGUACAUUUGACAGUUUUUUUUAUCACAUAAAUCAACAGUAACAUAAAAACUGAACUAUUUCUGUCAGCUGAAGUAGGUAGAUUGUAAAUAAUUGCCAUACAUUAUUCCUGAUCCUGUUUGGAUGUGCCACUGUGGCUCUUCUCGUCAACAGAUGGAGUCUUUUCUUCCAUCCCUUGAAUCUGGUCAGCAGUGAGAACUGCUUUAGUUAAAGGGUAAACAUGACACAAGCAGAGGCUUAAACAGCACUACGGCACUGGGGCUGCUGAGAGUCCCGAGCCUACCACAGGAGAAGCUCAGACUAGCUUGCCGGAGAGGUCAUGUGGAAAAGAAAUGAGAGACCCUGGCUGAGGGUCUGCCAACCUGUAGACAUAUGAGUGAGGGAAUUCUAGCCCACGCAGCCCCAGCCAAGCCACAAACUGACUGCAUCUGCACAGUGAGCCCAGGCAAGUCUAGCUGUCUGAGCCAGAUUUGCCUACCCACAGAAUCAUGAUUGUUUUUUAAUAUGCUAAAUACUGAGGUAGUUUGUUACAUGGCAACGACUGACUGAUACAUAAGGAUAAACCUAUAGAAGUAUUAUACACAUAUGCAGAGACUGUCUUAGCUUCUUAGCACUGUGAGGGACAUGCCAUGUACUCAAUAAGGGUGUCUGAAUGGGAAUUCCAUGUCACUAGAAAAUGGUAUACAUGGAAACCGUCUAAAGGCAAUGGAAAGCUUAGGUAGACUACUUCCUUUUGUAUAUAUGAAGUGCUAUAAAACCAAGUAGUUACUCCACUGUUAGAGGCAGACGUGGGAAGAUAAGCUAUGUAGGACUUUUUUUCCUUGGAAGACUAAAAAGGUCUGGCUCUGCCUCUGGUCAACUAUGACCAGACACUACAGAAACAGUCAUUGAGAUUACUGCAUUGAGAUUGCUGGCAGAUGGCCUGGCCUUUCUCCCCUGACACAAUUCUGCAACCCAAGUGGCCAGUGUGCGGAGAGAGCACACAUCCCCAUGAGAGGCCACCUAGCCUUUCCUCCCCUGAAGGCCACACUGGGCCACCCUAGCACACAUCAACUUGGCUGGCACACUUUCCAGCAAAGCAGAUUCCACGCUGUGUACUCUGAGAACAAAUCAUGUUUCCUCCUUACCAAACGUUUUUGCUUGCAAAGUUGAAUCCAGGUAUAAGGACUCAUGAGGGAAUAUUUAGAGUGCCACAAACAAAAGGUCUAUAGAGAAACCACGGAGGUACUCGUGGAUCUUCUAGUAGAAGUAUUUUUUACUAAAAGAAAGUAUCAAAACAUUUUCACCUUAAAAAGCUCAAGUAAAUCUGAUCAAUUUAGCAGAAUCACAUAAUUUAUAAUAAUAUAUGUAUAAGAGUUGUGCAAUCUUAGUAUCAUUAGCAAAAUACUGUACUUGUAAAAGAAAAAUUCAAGAUAGCUAAAUAUUUCUCCAUAAUAGUAGCUAUUUAAUUGGAAAAUUUUUUGUUUUGAGACAAGAGUCUUGCUCAGUUACCCAGGCUGCAGUGCAGUGAUGCAGUCUCAGCUCACUGCAACCUCUGCCUCCCGGGUUCAAGCAAUUCUUGUGUCUCAGCCUCCCGAGUAGCUGGAAUUACAGGUGCGCACCACCACAUCUGGUUAAUGUUUGUAUUUUUAGUAGCGAUGGGAUUUGGUCAUGUUGGGCAGGCUAAUCUUAAACUCCUGACCUCAAGUGAUCUGCCUGCUCUGGCCUUCCAGAAGUGCUAGGAUUACAGGUGUGAACCACUGCACUCGACCUACUUGAAAAGUAUUUUUAAAUUAAUUGAUACUUUAAUCUUUGAUGAAUAUAGCUAUUUUCAGUACAUUAAAAUGACUAUUCACAAAAUGCCACCCACAUUUACAUGCUAAUUUAUCCAACCUCCUCAUUUAUAUUUUUAAAGAUGCAAUAUAAUUUUUGUAAGUGUAUUUUUUAAAGUCUAAGAAUCUUGUGAGUAAAUGAGGAUUUUUUUUUUUUUCCAGAUGGAGUCUCGCUCUGUCGCCAGGCUGGAGUGCAGUGCUGCGAUCUUGGCUCACUGCAAGCUCUGCCUCCCAGGUUCAAGCAAUUCUUUGCCUCAGCCUCCAGAAUAGCUGGGAUGACAGGUGGGUGCCACCACACCCAGCUAAUUUUUGUAUUUUUGAUAGAGACAGGGUUUCACCAUCGUGGCCAGGCUGGUCUUGAAGGCUGGUCUUCAACUCCUGACCUCAUGAUCCACCCACCUCGGCCUCCCAAAGUGCUGGGAUUACAGGUGUGAGCCACCGCGCCCGGCUUGAGGAUGUUUUAUACUAUUUUGCAGUAGCAAACUACUAUCCAGUAAAUGUGUCAAAUACUUUUUUGAACCAUGACUUUGGAGUUAACAUUAUUCAAUAAGGUUAAUGACAUAAAAAAAUAAUUAAAUGUGGUGAAUGGAAGGAAUGGACAGUAAAAGCUAAGAAAAAUUGGUGGCAGCUUCAUUAUCUGUGAAACUAAACUUGAAGGGGACAAAUGAAAACUUGCAGCUGAGCUUAAAGUGCAGCAAAACCCGGCGGAAGCCAGGGCCCCACAGGGCCUCUGCGCUUUGGGGAGCACCGCAGGGAGCACCGCUGUUCUCCUGCUCCUGUUCUGUCCUGUUUUGUCUUUCUGAAAAGGCAACACGAAGAGCUGAGGACAAGCCAAUAGGUUCAUUAUCAUGCUGCCUAAUAAUAAAAUAAUGUUCUCUUAACAAAGUGUGGACACACAUGGUGAAGGCAUCAGGAAGAACCUGAUGGAAAUAAUCUGGAAAAGGUCUUUUGGGCAUGGAGUUUCCUCAUCUGCAGAAUGGGGGCGGGGUGAUGAGAGGGGCUUGUUGGGGGCCAGGAGAAGUGGGCUGGAUGAAUUCCAAGAUCCUUUAUAGCUAUAGCUUUGGGUGAUCGAGGUGAAAAGCUGACCUUCCUCAUCCCUGCCUGGGAGGCCAGUGUGGGAUGCGGUUCUUCGUAGGUCUCACAGUGCUUGUUAUAAAACGA